GAUGAACGCUGGCGGCGUGCUUAACACAUGCAAGUCGAACGGAGAAUUGUUAAUGAGAUCUUCGGAUGGAUUUAAUGAUUCUUAGUGGCGGACGGGUGAGUAACGCGUGGAUAACCUGGCCCAUACAGGGGGAUAGCAGUUGGAAACGACUGAUAAUACCGCAUAAGCGCACGGUACCGCAUGAUACAGUGUGAAAAACGAUAGUGGCAUACGAUGGACCCGCGUCUGAUUAGCUAGUUGGUGGGGCAACGGCCUACCAAGGCGACGAUCAGUAGCCGGUCUGAGAGGAUGAACGGCCACAUUGGAACUGAGACACGGUCCAGACUCCUACGGGAGGCAGCAGUGGGGAAUCUUCCGCAAUGGGCGAAAGCCUGAUGCAGCGACGCCGCGUGAGCGAAGAAGUAUUUCGGUAUGUAAAGCUCUAUCAGCAGGGAAGAUAAUGACGGUACCUGACUAAGAAGCACCGGCUAAAUACGUG
rnacentral:rRNA from 1 species